GACGAACGCUGGCGGCGUGCUUAACACAUGCAAGUCGAACGGAAAGGCCUGCUUUCCCUUGUGGAUUGCGGGUGCUCGAGUGGCGAACGGGUGAGUAACACGUGAGUGAUCUGCCCCCAACUUGGGUAUAAGCCUGGGAAGCUGGGUCUAAUUCCCGAUAGGACUGCAGGGUGGUGCCUGUGGUGGAAAACGAUUUUCUAGUGGUUGGGGAUGAGCUCGCGGCCUAUCAGCUUGUUGGUGGGGUAAUGGCCUACCAAGGCGGCGACGGGUAGCCGGCCUGAGAGGGUGGACGGCCACAUUGGGACUGAGACACGGCCCAGACGCCUACGGGAGGCAGCAGUGGGGAAUAUUGCACAAUGGGCGGAAGCCUGAUGCAGCGACGCCGCGUGGGGGAUGACGGCCUUCGGGUUGUAAACUCCUUUCGACCGCGAGGAAGCCACCUGGUUGGAAGGGUGGUGACGGUAGUGGUAGAAGAAGCACCGGCUAACUACGUG
rnacentral:rRNA from 1 species